rnacentral:misc_RNA from 1 species
GAUGAAGAACGUAGCGAAAUGCGAUAAGUAAUGUGAAUUGCAGAAUUCAGUGAAUCAUCGAAUCUUUGAACGCACAUUGCGCCCGCCAGUAUUCUGGCGGGCAUGCCUGUUCGAGCGUCAUUUCAACCAUCAAGCCCCCGGGCUUGUGUUGGGGACCUGCGGCUGCCGCAGGCCCUGAAAAGCAGUGGCGGGCUCGCUGUCACACCGAGCGUAGUAGCAUACAUCUCGCUCUGGGCGUGCUGCGGGUUCCGGCCGUUAAACCACCUUUUAACCCAAGGUUGACCUCGGAUCAGGUAGGAAGACCCGCUGAACUUAAGCAUAUCAAUAAGCGGAGGA